UGAGUAACACGUAGGCAACCUGCCUGUAAGACUGGGAUAACAUAGGGAAACUUAUGCUAAUACCGGAUAGGGUUUUGCUUCGCCUGAAGCGAAACGGAAAGAUGGCGCAAGCUAUCACUUACAGAUGGGCCUGCGGCGCAUUAGCUAGUUGGUGAGGUAACGGCUCACCAAGGCGACGAUGCGUAGCCGACCUGAGAGGGUGACCGGCCACACUGGGACUGAGACACGGCCCAGACUCCUACGGGAGGCAGCAGUAGGGAAUUUUCCACAAUGGACGAAAGUCUGAUGGAGCAACGCCGCGUGAACGAUGAAGGCUUUCGGGUCGUAAAGUUCUGUUGUUAGGGAAGAAACAGUGCUAUUUAAAUAAGGUAGCACCUUGACGGUACCUAACGAGAAAGCCACGGCUAACUACGUGCCAGCAGCCGCGGUAAUACGUAGGUGGCAAGCGUUGUCCGGAAUUAUUGGGCG
rnacentral:rRNA from 1 species